CGGGCCCGCACAAGCAGCGGAGCGUGUGGUUUAAUUCGAUGUUACACGAAGAACCUUACCAGGGUUUGACAUGCAAGUGGUAGGAAGCCGAAAGGUGACCGACCCUUCGGGGAGCUUGCACAGGUGCUGCAUGGCUGUCGUCAGCUCGUGUCGUGAGAUGUUCGGUUAAGUCCGCUAACGAGCGCAACCCUCGCUGUGUGUUAUAUGUGUCACACGGGACUGCCGGUCUUAAGCCGGAGGAAGGUGGGGAUGAUGUCAAGUCAGCAUGGCCUUUAUAUCCUGGGCUACACACACGCUACAAUGGCCAACACAAUAGGUUGCUAAGCCGCGAGGUGGCGCCAAUCCAUAAAGUUGGUCUCAGUUCAGAUUGUAGGCUGCAACCCGCCUGCAUGAAGAUGGAGUUGCUAGUAACCGCAGGUCAGCUAUACUGCGGUGAAUACGUUCCCGGGGCUU
rnacentral:rRNA from 1 species